UACGUAGGGGGGCAAGCGUUGUCCGGAUUUAUUGGGCGUAAAGAGCGUGUAGGCGGCUUUACAGGUCCGUUGUGAAAACUCGAGGCUCAACCUCGAGACGCCGGUGGAAACCGUAAGGCUAGAGUCCGGAAGAGGAGAGUGGAAUUCCUGGUGUAGCGGUGAAAUGCGCAGAUAUCAGGAAGAACACCCGUGGCGAAGGCGGCUCUCUGGGACGGUACUGACGCUGAGGUGCGAAAGCGUGGGGAGCAAACAGG
rnacentral:rRNA from 1 species